UGUUGAGCCUGUAGUUGUUCUUGGAUCUUGUUUAAACUAGUACCAUCUGAAGUGAAUACCUGUGCCCAUUCUUUUCCAGGUUUUGCUGUUACCACUCAAGAUACCAUACCUUGAAUAAUACAUGGGAGACCUCAGGACACUGAUAAGAUCUCAAGCUAUAACUAUGUGCUGGGCAGACAAGCAGGGAAGACAUUGUGAGCAGAAGAAACACUAUAUCCCAAGGAUUGAAACCUUACCAUGUGUAUUCAGGCAUUGAUGCCCACUGCACAGAGAGGUCAUGAAGAUGAAAGUGCUCAGGAUGUCCAGCACACGGUAAGUAGCUUAAUAGGUGAGCCUACCUCAUUGUGAUUAUUUUUCAGUUUCCUAUGUGUU